AUCAGAUUUACUGGGCGUAAAGAGCUCGUAGGCGGUUUGUCGCGUCUGUCGUGAAAGUCCGGGGCUUAACCCCGGAUCUGCGGUGGGUACGGGCAGACUAGAGUGCAGUAGGGGAGACUGGAAUUCCUGGUGUAGCGGUGGAAUGCGCAGAUAUCAGGAGGAACACCGAUGGCGAAGGCAGGUCUCUGGGCUGUAACUGACGCUGAGGAGCGAAAGCAUGGGGAGCGAACAGGAUUAGAUACCCUGGUAGUCCAUGCCGUAAACGUUGGGCACUAGGUGUGGGGACCAUUCCACGGUUUCCGCGCCGCAGCUAACGCAUUAAGUGCCCCGCCUGGGGAGUACGGCCGCAAGGCUAAAACUCAAAGGAAUUGACGGGGGCCCGCACAAGCGGCGGAGCAUGCGGAUUAAUUCGAUGCAACGCGAAGAACCUUACCAAGGCUUGACAUGUUCUCGAUCGCCGUAGAGAUACGGUUUCCCCUUUGGGGCGGGAUCACAGGUGGUGCAUGGUUGUCGUCAGCUCGUGUCGUGAGAUGUUGGGUUAAGUCCCGCAACGAGCGCAACCCUCGUUCCAUGUUGCCAGCACGUAAUGGUGGGGACUCAUGGGAGACUGCCGGGGUCAACUCGGAGGAAGGUGGGGACGACGUCAAAUCAUCAUGCCCCUUAUGUCUUGGGCUUCACGCAUGCUACAAUGGCCGGUACAAUGGGUUGCGAUACUGUGAGGUGGAGCUAAUCCCAAAAAGCCGGUCUCAGUUCGGAUUGGGGUCUGCAACUCGACCCCAUGAAGUCGGAGUCGCUAGUA
rnacentral:rRNA from 1 species